ACUCCUACGGGAGGCAGCAGUGGGGAAUAUUGGACAAUGGGCGCAAGCCUGAUCCAGCCAUGCCGCGUGAGUGAUGAAGGCCCUAGGGUUGUAAAGCUCUUUCACCGGAGAAGAUAAUGACGGUAUCCGGAGAAGAAGCCCCGGCUAACUUCGUGCCAGCAGCCGCGGUAAUACGAAGGGGGCUAGCGUUGUUCGGAAUUACUGGGCGUAAAGCGCACGUAGGCGGAUCGAUCAGUCAGGGGUGAAAUCCCAGGGCUCAACCCUGGAACUGCCUUUGAUACUGUCGAUCUGGAGUAUGGAAGAGGUGAGUGGAAUUCCGAGUGUAGAGGUGAAAUUCGUAGAUAGUCGGAGGAACACCAGUGGCGAAGGCGGCUCACUGGUCCAUUACUGACGCUGAGGUGCGAAAGCGUGGGGAGCAAACAGGAUUAGAAACCCGGGUAGUCCCA
rnacentral:rRNA from 1 species